CGAACGAUGACGGUGGUGCUUGCACCGCCUGAUUAGUGGCGAACGGGUGAGUAACACGUGAGUAACCUGCCCUCCACUUCGGGAUAACCUCGGGAAAUCGUGGCUAAUACCGGAUAUGAGCACUCAUCGCAUGGUGGGUGUUGGAAAGAUUUAUCGGUGGGGGAUGGACUCGCGGCCUAUCAGUUUGUUGGUGAGGUGAUGGCUCACCAAGACGAUGACGGGUAGCCGGCCUGAGAGGGCGACCGGCCACACUGGGACUGAGACACGGCCCAGACUCCUACGGGAGGCAGCAGUGGGGAAUAUUGCACAAUGGGCGAAAGCCUGAUGCAGCGACGCCGCGUGGGGGAUGACGGCCUUCGGGUUGUAAACCCCUUUCAGUAGGGAAGAAGCGAGAGUGACGGUACCUGCAGAAGAAGCGCCGGCUAACUACGUGCCAGCAGCCGCGGUAAUACGUAGGGCGCAAGCGUUGUCCGGAAUUAUUGGGCGUAAAGAGCUUGUAGGUGGCUUGUCGCGUCUGCCGUGAAAACCCGAGGCUCAACCUCGGGCGUGCGGUGGGUACGGGCAGGCUAGAGUGUGGUAGGGGAGACUGGAACUCCUGGUGUAGCGGUGAAAUGCGCAGAUAUCAGGAAGAACACCGAUGGCGAAGGCAGGUCUCUGGGCCAUUACUGACACUGAGAAGCGAAAGCAUGGGUAGCGAACAGGAUUAGAUACCCUGGUAGUCCAUGCCGUAAACGUUGGGCACUAGGUGUGGGGGACAUUCCACGUUUUCCGCGCCGUAGCUAACGCAUUAAGU
rnacentral:rRNA from 1 species